GACGUAGGGUGCGAGCGUUGUCCGGAUUUAUUGGGCGUAAAGAGCUCGUAGGCGGCUCGUCGCGUCGACCGUGAAAACCCGCGGCUUAACUGCGGGCUUGCGGUUGAUACGGGCGGGCUAGAGUUCGGUAGGGGAGACUGGAAUUCCUGGUGUAGCGGUGGAAUGCGCAGAUAUCAGGAGGAACACCGGUGGCGAAGGCGGGUCUCUGGGCAGUAACUGACGCUGAGGAGCGAAAGCGUGGGGAGCGAACAGG
rnacentral:rRNA from 1 species